ACGGGGCCCGCACAAGCGGUGGAGUAUGUGGUUUAAUUCGACGCAACGCGCAGAACCUUACCUAGGCUUGACAUCCCGGGAAUUUGCUGGAAACAGUGAAGUGCUUUCAUUAGAAAGAGCCCGGUGACAGGUGCUGCAUGGCUGUCGUCAGCUCGUGUCGUGAGAUGUUGGGUUAAGUCCCGCAACGAGCGCAACCCUCGCCUUUAGUUGCCAGCAUUCAGUUGGGCACUCUAAAGGGACUGCCGGUGUCAAACCGGAGGAAGGUGGGGAUGACGUCAAGUCCUCAUGGCCUUUAUGUCUAGGGCUACACACGUACUACAAUGGCAGGUACAAAGGGCAGCGACACAGCGAUGUGAUGCGAAUCCCGAAAAGCCUGUCUCAGUCCGGAUCGGAGUCUGCAACUCGACUCCGUGAAGUUGGAAUCGCUAGUAAUCGUGGAUCAGCAUGCCACGGUGAAUACGUUCCCGGGCCUU
rnacentral:rRNA from 1 species